GUUGAACGCUGGCGGCAGGCCUAACACAUGCAAGUCGAGCGGAUGGAGGGGGCUUGCUCCUGUCUUCCGCGGCGGACGGGUGGGUAAUGACUAGGAAUCUGCCUGGUAGUGAGGGCUAACGUCCGGAAACGGGCGCGAAUACAGCAUCCGUCCUGAGGGAGAAAGUGAGGGAUCUUCGGACAUCACGCUAUCAGAUGACCCUAGGUCGGAUUAGCUAGUUGGUGGGGUAAAGGCUUACCAAGGCGACGAUCCGUAACUGGCCUGAGAGGAUGAUCAGCCACACUGGAACUGAGACACGGUCCAGACUCCUACGGGAGGCAGCAGUGGGGAAUCUUGGACAAUGGGCGAAAGCCUGACCGAGCCAUGCCGCGUGUGUGAAGAAGGUCUUCGGAUCGUAAAGCUCUGUUAGUUGGGAAGAACGGCUGUAUGUUAAUACCUUGAUGUUUUGACGGUACCAACAGAAUAAGCACCGGCUAACUUCGUG
rnacentral:rRNA from 1 species